GCCUGAUUAGCAUAGUGGCUAAUGCGUUGCACUUGUAUCAAAACCCCUCCCAGGGGUUCCUCGACAGACAUGCAAAGAUCACAGGUUCGAUUCCUGUAUUAGGCA